GGAGGCGUCUCAUGGCCGCAUGGUACCGGUUUUGAAAACCGGCGUGGGGCAACCUACCGGGGGUUCGAAUCCUCCCGCCUCCGCCA
rnacentral:tRNA from 1 species